rnacentral:rRNA from 1 species
CCUUUAGCAAUUUGCAGAAGCGGACGAAAACUCUGCCAUCGUCCCCGUCCCCACGUUUAGCUGCGAAAAUUGUUAUAUGGCCAAUGAAAAAUCAGCACAAUAGAUCCCAUGCCACGACCUCGCAGUCGCCGACGUGCUGCGCUACCACGUCCUCCUGGAGUACAUCUCCCCGUCCGACCACGCCCGCAUCCCGGCGUGAGGGAUGCUCCCGCCGCGGGCAGAGGCGGCAGCUCCGCUGUCGUGGUCCGCUCGCCGCUCCUUGCCCCCCUCCUCCCCGCCCCCGCGCGCCCCGAUCUGGCGACGAGAAGAUGUGAAGGCGGAAGAGAGAUCAAGGCCAACCUCCAACCCCUUAGAGUAAGAUCUGCCGCCGCGACCUGAUGUUUGGCGCUUCCCACUCCGUCACCCCGGGAGUCGUCGCGUGAACAAUCUCCGAGCACCUAGCCACUUGAGGCUGAAACAACGUGGAUGGAGACCGGCGAGAGGUAGAGGAGGAGGUCGGAGGGUGGGUCAACCUGUUGUAUUGACCGGACGCGCCCGUCGGUGCGGCGGAGCUCUUCCGUUGAUUCAGCGAAGGGAGGUGGGCAAGCGGCACAUUGAAUCCCGUCCUGACAUCCAUCAGCACUGGCCAAUACGACCGGCCAGCCGCAUCAUCGAUGGCUAAUCAUCGGAACUAUGAGAAAGUAGGCCAUUGUUUACAAACUCAAGGAUUCAGUGAUGUUGAAGCUAAAAGCUGGACUUCACUGCCCUCUGCUCCUCAAUUCAGCCGCCGUUGCCCGCUGCUCCUCAAUUCAGCCGCUGCUGCCGCCACGUUGAGGCCCUCGCCACUAAGCCGGUGAACUUGGAUCAGGUGUGAACUUUGAUCAUGUUUUUCUUUACCUUAACAUCAAGCCGUCGGCUGGGUUUAGGAAGGUAGCUCACGGGACAAACAUUGGUGGCUCACACUCAAUUAUUAAGAGCACCAUAAUUGGAAAAUAUGCACUUGCUAAAACAAAAUUAAUAAUGACAAAAACUAUGAACAUCAGUCAAAGUUCAUGGUCAGAUUCCUCAUCACAGAUUUGGGUCAAAAGUCAAAAAUGCAAGGGAGUAACAACAAAAAAACACGACUUCAAUUGUGCUCCUGUUGGUUAAUAUACCGAGUAAAAAUAAAUAGAACAACCUAUAAUAUAGAGCUUAUGUGCUUUGCACGAAACUGAAUGCAUGGCACUGAACAUAUCUCUAAUCUAUUAUAUGUUAUAUAAGAAAGCACAUAAUUGGGAGGACUGAAAUCCAGCUUGGUUAAACGAAAUAAAUUGGCAACAUAAUUUGGGAGGUGCCUAUCUUUUGUAGCAACGAAGUAAGAUAGUCGACAAGUUCUGGAUCAACAAGACCCUGAGCAUGUCUUGACCCCUAAAUGGAUUACUGCAAGCCUUACUCAAAUGAUAAUAAUAAAAGGUAGACUCGGCUCCUCCACUCAUGCUUCUCUGAAUACAAUGUAAAUUUCAGAACAUGGCUCUCUGAAUUUCUACAACCUAAAUUUAGUACAUGCUUCUUUGAAUGUUGGCCAGCCAAUCGGUACUGUAUUGCAGACUUCAGAGAAUUGUAUGCAUGCCCUUUAUGCCAAUGGAUUACUGCAUUUUUAUGUUAGGUUUUACACUAUUUGAAUGUAAGGACUAUAUAGUAUCUCUUUGGCAAUCUAUGGCAAGUCAUUUUCUGCACAUAAAAUUCAGUGCAUGCUUCUCUGAAUAUCUGCAAUACAAGUGAGCAAAAUUCGUUCUUACAUGUUGUCCUGCCAAUUGGUAUUGGCAGCCUUGCAUACAUGUUUUUAAAAUGCUUAAUCCAAGUGCCACUUCUGUACUAAAUAAGCUGAACUUUAUUUUAUAAAUAACUAAAUGUUGGUUUGCUGACGUCUUCUUGUGAUUGAAUUCUGGAACUUACAUUGUCCGUUUGCAACAUUACAUACGGCCAUGCUUUGCAAGACGUUCUAUAUAUAGGCUCUUUUGUACGUGAUAAAAAAAUUUGGACACAUAUUUGUUACUCCCUCCGUCCCAUAUUUGUCAAAAACGCUCUUAUAUUAUGGGACGGAGGGAGUAGAACUAUGAGUUCACCAUAUACUAUGAAAAUUCAUCAACUUGGGAUUAUGAAUCAUGUUUGUUUUUUGGAGAACCAUGUACUGAUUUAGAUAAAACCUCAUUAGCGAGAAAUAUUUGACUCGUAGGGAGCUACUGUAGUUUUUCCUGCUUUUCCAAUUAUUCUGUUGUUACUUCGUUCAUAGCUAUGGAAUGGAUCCUUCUACCAUUGCCAGUUCAGCUAUACCAGGUACACUCUGAUGCUUGUUCAUGGAAUUUUGGUAACAAUAUGAACUGUGAUAUGUUCUGAAACAUAAACUGAGAGGCAAACUUAUAUUAUGUUUAACAGGUUUGGCUGUUGUUCCUCUAUACAACUUUAUCUUUUAGUAUCGACCAAUACCUCAUAUCCCAUUUGAAGGGAAUAUUGUGAUGCUCUAGGACUUUAUGUUAUUUUACCAUACAAUCCGAUAAAAAUGAUGCUCUUCUUCAAUGCCUGUCUAUCCACCUCCGACGUGUUGUUUGUUGGCUGUUCUUGUUAUGCUUUUUUCUGUUCGUUUCAAAGUUAUUAACUCAUUAGGCAUAUAAGUACCAAUAAUGCAAGUUUUUUUGGGUCAUUUGGAACUUAGCAAAAGUUCAUUUUAUUCUAAAGGUGAGUAUGGAAUCAUCCGACAUCCUGGUGGCUCUUGUAAGUCUCAAAUGGGAGAUUAAGGGACAAGUUGAUUGUUCACACAAGGUAGGUGUACUUUUAGGCCUCUGGUUUGUUCUAAACAUGUAAGUUCGGGCUUAGCCUAUACUCUUUUCACAGAGAGUUGCCGAGUUGUUUCUGUGCCAGGCUGUGAUGCAAGGUUUUGCCAUGUUGCUGAAAAGAUAUCAAUGUCGAAGACUAUAUACAACUUUGUAGUCGUCUGCUCAAAUUUUAGUCAAAAUAGAUAUUUGUAAGUUGAAAAUUUAUUUUUGGCAGGCUAAAAUAAUGGAGGUUGUGUGGGAAGAGAUUGUUGUUGUUUAAGGCUAACUAUUGUUGUUCUGUCACUUCCCCUUUCUCUUGCUGGUAUGUGGUUAUCCAUAUGAUAGCUGGGAUUGAAUAUGCAACAUGCAACUACCUUGUCUUCAUAAUUCACUAUUCAUCUUGAUACAUGAUGAUAUACUCAAAUUUUUGUUUUACUUGGAUAAUAGUACCUGUCAUUUUAUUUAGAAUAGUAGCAGGCCAUUUAUUUAGAAUACUACUAGGUCAUUUAUUUAAUUUAAUGCGUACAUUACAGUAUUCCUUUGAAUGCUAGCCAAACUUGUAGGUGAGUUAGAAACCUACUUCUAAGUUCUGGGAUGUCCGCCAAGCAACCAAACUUGUGUUGGGAGUGUCAUUCUGGUUGGCCUUCCACCAGAAGAAAAUCGCCAUGGACACCCCAAGUCGGUUGUUCCUCUACUCCAUAGAGAUGUGUCACUCACCGCCGUUGGCACUUAACUAACGACGGCGUCAAAAUAGAAAGAUGAAAAGUUGGACUUGUAAGAGAAUAGUCAUAUUACUACAAUAGAUGUAGAUCUUGAGCAUAUCGAAAGAUUAAAUUGUAAUUUGUAACAGGAAUGCAAUAGCAUUUUGG